ACUCUGUUUGCAGAGUUAUCAAUAGACAUAAUUCUGUCUGUUUGAUACGGUCGAUACGACACCAAUCCACAUCAAGACGAUUCGAUUUAAAGAAAAAUAAGAAUCAUUAAAGGAAGUGAAGUCAUGGAAAGUGUUGAACUAGAUUUACCAAAGCUUACAGAAUACGACGACGAUGAUGACAUUGAAAAGUAUGAUGAGGUGAGAGUGGAGUUGAACAAGGGUCUUGUCUUGAAUGAUUUAAAAACUGAAGGUGGUGCUCACUUUGAAGUCAAACCUCCACCAGACUUGCCAGAUCCAGACACAGAUGCAUACUUUGAAACUGAGGAAGUUUUCAAGCAGCUGAACAGAGAAUGUCUAGGAGACGAUGGUGACAAUGAUGAUGAGGGUCUGUCCCCUUUUGAGAAGAUGGCAAAGAAAAUGGAGGAUAUCACUCCUGAGAAGAACAGGAAAGUUCUCAAGAGUUAUAUCAAGCAAGGAGCAGGGGCAUUACCUAUUCAAGGCAUGACUCUAACUGUACAUUAUAAUUGCUAUGUGGAGUAUAGUGAUGAGCCGUAUGAUUCAACGCGUCUCAGGAACAAACCAGAGCGAAUCAAACUCGGGAAAGGUGAUGUUUUCCUUAGUGUGGAGUUGGCCCUAAGUUCAAUGCGUAAAGGGGAGAUAUCCAGGUUUUUAAUCCAUCCUGAUUUGGCCUUCAAAGACCUUGGUGUUCCCCCUAGGAUUCCAGCAAAUGCUACAAUUUUGAUGGAGAUUGAGGUACUGAACUGCACAGAUCGUGCUGAGCUAGAUGAGUUUAACAACAUGAGUGAAGAAGAACGCAAAGAAAUAACAUUUAAGAGAAAGCUGAAAGUAGUGUAUGAAGAAAGAACGGAAGGAAAUGAACUCUUUAAUGAUAAGAAGUACAAACAGGCAUUAUCAAAGUAUAUGAGAUGUUUAAGGAUUUUGGAAGGAGCUCACCUGAGGAACCAGGAGGAAGAGGAUCAGAUGAGAUCAGUUCAUACCAAGAUCUGUCUUAACAUUGCUCUAUGUAGUUCAAAGCUGAAAACACCAGAGAGAGUCAUAUCAUAUUGCAAUCGGGUCUUGGCAGUGGAUCCAAAAAAUCCCAAAGCGCUCUACAGGAAAGGAAUGGCCCAGAUGGAGUUGCGUGAUUUUCAAGGUGCCCAUGUAUUCCUGACCAAAGCCCAACAGCAGGAACCAUCUAAUGCUGCAAUACUCAGUGGUCUCAGGGAACUUAACAAGGCAUGGAGGCAGUGGAAUUUAAUGGAACGUACUUGCUAUGGCAACAUGUUCCCAGAUUGGAAGAAAGAUGACCAGCUGAAAGAAGGUGAGAAGUCACAAAGGAAAAUACCUGAAAACGUUCAGAAAAACAUCAGAGACAAAUUACGGGAUUUUCAAAAAGCCAAAAAGAAGAACGAAAUGACAUUCCAAGCCAAGACUAUGGCACCAUCAGAAAUCAACUUCCUGGAGACAGUUGCUAAGGAAUUCAGCAUGACGUUCCAGAAAAGAGAAUAUCAAGGCGAGCAGAUUAUCAAAAUCGUAAAGGAAGCUGCAGGUAAAGCUGAACAGUGAAAGAACUCUCUUAUCAGAACCUUUGCAAGCUAAGCCACCUUGCCAAAUCACCAUGAGAUUCUCACAAUUCGCUGAGUUUGCUUUCAUCUGCUACUUCAAUACUACCAGCAUGCUGUAGGAUGAUAGUUCUUAUCCUUUGCAUGACCUUUUAAAAAACACUGAUGAUUGUACUUUGCAGUAUUGUUGACAUACAUGUAGCCUGGAGACCCCCAAGCAAAAAUGUACAAGAGAAACUGGAAGGAAACUCUGCAAUGGCUACCGGUAAAUUAAGUUUAGUUGCACCAGAUGGCAAAGUUCAAACCUUGCAGGAUGAAAAAGUGGAACUUCUACAGUGGAUAUGAUAAUUUCUAUGAGGGAAUUCCAACUUGAUCUUAGAAGCUCCUGUCAGUAUUGUCAUCCUUUAUCACUCACUCACUCUAGGAUGUGUUGAAGACAAUGAAUAACCUGACAUUAAUGUGCUGUUCAACACUGGUACAAUAAGAACGUCAAAGGCAUUGAUAGUGAAGUCUUUUUCUUUUGAUAUCAUUUCGCUGCUGCUGGCAGGUGUGAGGAAUAUAUACUAGUAGAUAAUUAUUUUUUCUCACAAGGGAUGGAAGUGAGGCUGCCAGAAGAAAGUUUCUAUCAUAGACUUUGUACACAGAUUGAGGCUUUGGUCAAGGAUGUCAAAAUGUCGCCUUGAGGACAGUCUUUAUACUGUCAUAUGAUUUCUUGAUGUAUACGAGGUUAGAAUGUGAUUUAGCCGAUUGUCCCUGGAUAACUGUUAAAAUAGCUUUAAAGAUUUGAAUGAGUGUUCUUAUAUCCUUGAUCACUUGGCACCAGAAUCAUACUUUAUUUAAGCCAUGAUGGAAUAUCCAUGGGUGUUUCUCAAAGAGAGUAGCAUGGCACACAUUACACAUUGACAUAUUAUGGUCAAGGGAUUGCAUCAUCGUCCUUGGGAUUAAUACCACAUGCAUAUUAGCACUCAUUCAUGCUUUUAAUGUUAUACUUUUGGCUCAUGGGUCUGUCACUUUUACUAGAUUGUAUGAUUUUGAGUAUAUUAUAUUAGAUAGGUCUACAUGUAUGUGUAAUGCCAGAUAACUAAAUAAGGCCCUUAAAGAGGGAUUCUGCUCGAAUUAAAUUUUAAAGAUUGCAAUACUGGGGUAUCACAAUUUCUUUCAUGUAUUUUAUAGUUUUCUAAAUUUCUUAUGUAUUUCUUUAGUGUAUUUUCAAUGGAAAUUGUCUGGGACUUUGAAAUGUUGCGUAAUUUCGGAACCACAUACCCAGGGGCCGCAAUUUUGGUGUCCAAAGUUGUGCGAGACUUGAAAGUAAAAGGUCAGAGAAUGAUGCGGUCAACAAAUUUUGCUAGGUGGAUUUAUUGUGAAAAAUGUCGAGGGGGAGGCUGAAUCAGCUACCCAGUCUUAGAGAAAAGUACAUUUAUCUAAUCAAGAUCUAUAAAAAAAGAUUCAUUUAGUCAGAGGAAACUCUUAAAGUAACGCUGUGGAUUCUUCAGCUAGAAUCAUUUAUUAAUAUGCAUUAUAACAAAGUGCCAAAUUAACUCCUUUUAAGUCUGUUACAUAUUCUAUAAACUUUUUUAUCAUGUGUGCAUCAUUUUGUCUUCAAGAAUUAUGUUUUUGCAUCAGGGUUGGCCGAUUUAAAUAACGUUGAUUUAAAUUUCAAUUUAAAAUCAAAAUGAUUUUUUUUUAAUCAUUGAUUUUAGUCACUUCCAUUGAAACAUGUACAAAUGAUUGACAAUUUUUUUUGCGGCAGUUUUAUUUUUUUUCACUCAGAAACGAUUUUAUCAACUUUUUAUCAUCAAAACAUUUUAGAGCAAUUGAAAUCAAGUCAAUAAAAUCAGGUUAAUGUUGUAAAACCAAAGAUGUGCAUGUAAUCUAUCCUAUAAGCGGUUAACACUUGGACCCUACUCCACUUUUACAAUGGACAAAAUAUUUCCUGUAAAUAUUCCUUUGUUGAUAGUAAUACAAAGUUCUUGAACAAUUUGUUCAUCCAUAACACUUCAGAACAAAAACAUGUUAAAAUUGAAAAAGAGGAAUUUAAAAAAGAAACCCUGAAUUUGUGAGGCUGAAGUCCAUCAGAAGUUUUUGCCUGGAUGGGGUUGAACCAAGGCAUACUAGUAUUCAGACUUUCUGUAUACGAUUGUGCUUCAUUCAGCUGGUACACUGAGAAAGGUUCAGUAAUAAAUUAAAAAAUGUAUGCAUGCUCUUGGUAAAGGACACUAAAUUAUGGCAACAACCAUAAACAUGCCCUUUGCCAAAAGUGAGCAUUUAUUUUUGUACAUUUCUCUGUGAAUGUGUUGAAUUGAGUGGAGUAAUACAUAAGAUCUGCAUUAUCCCUGGUAACCUAUAGUUCAACAGUUCAUUCUUUUACUUGUAUUUAAAACUUACAAUCUAGUAAUGUUGCAUUUCUAGAACCUGUUUUCUUAUUUUUUGAAAAACUGCCAACAGCUGCCAUAUACUAAUAUUCAGGUUUAUUAUAAAAUAAUUUAUUUAAAUCAAUUUGCAACUCAGUUUUUUCCCAAUCAGUCAAUGAUUUGAAACAGUCAAAGAGUUCCAACUAUGGCUUAAAGAACAAAGGAGGUUUUAACCAAAAAAAAAAAUGCAGUUUUCUUUAACUUCAAUCCUUGGCUUGAAAAUAAAAAAAAAUAUUUCUGUUUGGAGAGUGUGAGUCUCAGAGUCAUGGAAAUUCUUCCAAAGAAACCGAUCCUCAUUUUGUGUAAAGAGCUUUGAAUAGGAACACUAACUAUGCAGCAUUAGCUGUACCAAGACAAUAUUGAACCCAGUAGGAGCUCUCUACAUCACAGGACGCAGCAGACACAGCAGAAAAUGCAAGCAUCUUCAUGAUCUUCAAUAUUUUCUAUAAAUUCUAUUUUGACUUGAUUUGAUUAUGAAAUAGAAAGCUAAGAAUGGUUUUAGUAGUGAAAUGUAUGAUUUGGAAAUUUAUGUCAAAGGAUUAUAUUUUUGGUACCGUAUUUGCGUUUGUUUUUUUAUACAAUUUUUGUUUUUAUAAAAAUCAGAUUUAAAUCAAAUCUGAUUUUUAACAUUUUUUUUAAUGAAAAAAAAAAUUGCCAACCCUGUGUUGCAUACAAGGAGUUAAAUAAUCUUGAAAUCAUGAUGAUUUUGAAGGUAUUAUUAUGAAGUCACUGUCACCAAAGAAGAAAUGGGUUAUUAUCUUUGAAAAUGCAUUUUUUUAAAUACAUUUAUUAAGCCUCUGCCCACAUGUGUAUAUGCAUUAUGACAUCAGUCUGUCUAUCAGUAUGAGAAAAAUGAAUAAAUCAGCAUUUAACUUGGUUAAUGAAUGUAUGUAUGGAAGUGAUGAUUGGAUGAGAUUACAAAAAUCUAUAAGAUUUUAAAAGUUUUGUUCAUGUGAUCUAACUUUGGUGUAAAAGUUUACAUACUAGAAAAACAUUUUUAAAAAUCUGUACAAUUAUAGGCGAGACUUGUUGAAAUUUCCAAAAAGUGUGUUAGAUAUAUCAAACUGAAAUUAACAUUGUAUCAAACUAAAACAUACAAUCCCAAUAAAACAAUAAACAACCCAAUUUUCACAUAUAGUAUUACAAGAGAGUAGCAGUUCUAAAAGAAGUGACAAAAUCAUUACAACCAUAACAAAUUACUAACUACAAAAAUAAUAUACCCAACUCAAAUAUGAAAUCCAUUUGGAGUAAUUUAAAAUUGCUUCUAAUUACCAUUUCUAUCUAUCUAGAUCAAAUUAUAGUAAAAAAAUUUAUUUGAUUUUGGUGCUCACAAUUUCAUUUGGUGUCAACUCCGCCAAAAUGUCUCUAGCUAGUCUUGAAAGUAAAAUAUGCACAGUAAAUCUUUUAUUCAAUUCAGGGAGUGCCUUUAUGUUUCCUUAUUUCAUUCAGAAAAUAAUGUUUUGAUUUGUUAUUUCUUAUGUUGGAUUUGGAACAAUAAUAGCCAAGUCAGGGAUGUUUUUUUUUUAAUCAAUGGAGUAAAAAGGUGUCUAAUCCCUGAAAGGUGCUUAUAAGAGAGCAAUGGUAGGUGGAUUGGAAAUGGUUGGUCACCAGUGUAGUAUACUGGGAGCUUAAUGUGACAAAUGCUUCCUUUUAUUUAACAUUAAGUCUGAUUAUAAUGUCUCUCAGGUGUACGUAGUUUUGUUUUAUUUUUUUUUUUUUUUCAGCUGAACUCUUAUAUUCUAUUAAAUAUGUUUUCAAAUAAA